rnacentral:rRNA from 1 species
UACGGGGGGGGGCAAGCGUUGUUCGGAAUUACUGGGCGUAAAGGGCUCGUAGGCGGCCAACUAAGUCAGACGUGAAAUCCCCCAGGCUCAACCUGGGAACUGCGUCUGAUACUGGAUGGCUUGAAUCCGGGAGAGGGAUGCAGAAUUCCAGGUGUAGCGGUGAAAUGCGUAGAUAUCUGGAGGAAUACCGGUGGCGAAGGCGGCAUCCUGGACCGGCAUUGACGCUGAGGAGCGAAAGCUAGGGGAGCAAACGGG